AGUGAACGCUGGCGGUAGGCCUAACACAUGCAAGUCGAACGGCAGCACAGUAAGAGCUUGCUCUUACGGGUGGCGGGUGGCGGACGGGUGAGGAAUACAUCGGAAUCUACUUUUUCGUGGGGGAUAACGUAGGGAAACUUACGCUAAUACCGCAUACGACCUACGGGUGAAAGCAGGGGAUCUUCGGACCUUGCGCGAUUGAAUGAGCCGAUGUCGGAUUAGCUAGUUGGCGGGGUAAAGGCCCACCAAGGCGACGAUCCGUAGCUGGUCUGAGAGGAUGGUCAGCCACACUGGAACUGAGACACGGUCCAGACUCCUACGGGAGGCAGCAGUGGGGAAUAUUGGACAAUGGGCGCAAGCCUGAUCCAGCCAUACCGCGUGGGUGAAGAAGGCCUUCGGGUUGUAAAGCCCUUUUGUUGGGAAAGAAAAGCAGCAGGUUAAUACCCCGCUGUUCUGACGGUACCCAAAGAAUAAGCACCGGCUAACUUCGUG
rnacentral:rRNA from 1 species